AACGAACGCUGGCGGCGUGCUUAAGACAUGCAAGUCGCACGGGAUAGGACAUGUAGUAAUACUUGUUUUAUUUAGUGGCGCACGGGCGAGUAACACGUGAAUUAGAUGCCCUAUAGUAGGGAAUAGCCCAGGGAAACUUGGAUUAAUACCCCAUGGUAUCGAAAGAUAAAAAGUGGCCGCAAGGCUGUCGCUAGCGGAUUGGGUCGCGCCCUAUAAGCCUGUUGGUGAGGUAACGGCUCACCAAGGCAAUGACGGGUACCUGGUCUGAGAGGACGAUCAGGCACACUGGAACUGAGACACGGUCCAGACACCUACGGGUGGCAGCAGUCGAGAAUAAUUCACAAUGGGGGCAACCCUGAUGGUGCAACGCCGCGUGGAGGAUGACGGUCUUCGGAUUGUAAACUCCUGUCAUCUGGGAGAAAGACCUGACGGUAAAUAGCCGGCAGGGUUGAUAGUACCAGAAGAGGAAGGGACGGCUAACUUCGUGCCAGCCGCCGCAGUAA
rnacentral:rRNA from 1 species